rnacentral:rRNA from 1 species
UCCGGUUGAUCCUGCCAGAGGUUACUGCUAUCGGUGUUCGCCUAAGCCAUGCGAGUCAUAUGUUCUUCGUGAACAUGGCGUACUGCUCAGUAACACGUGGAUAACCUGCCCUUGGGUCCGGCAUAACCCCGGGAAACUGGGGAUAAUUCCGGAUAACGCACAUAUGCUGGAAUGCUUUAUGCGUAAAAUGGAUUCGUCUGCCCAAGGAUGGGUCUGCGGCCUAUCAGGUAGUAGUGGGUGUAAUGUACCUACUAGCCUACAACGGGUACGGGUUGUGAGAGCAAGAGCCCGGAGAUGGAUUCUGAGACAUGAAUCCAGGCCCUACGGGGCGCAGCAGGCGCGAAAACUUUACAAUGCGGGAAACCGUGAUAAGGGGACACCGAGUGCUAGCAUCAUAUGCUGGCUGUCCAGGUGUGUAAAAUACACCUGUUAGCAAGGGCCGGGCAAGACCGGUGCCAGCCGCCGCGGUAACACCGGCGGCCCGAGUGGUGAUCGUGAUUAUUGGGUCUAAAAGGGUCCGUAGCCGGUUUGGU